UCACUUAAGAUCCUAUUCAACUU
rnacentral:snRNA from 1 species